rnacentral:rRNA from 1 species
UAAGGAAUAUUGGUCAAUGGACGCAAGUCUGAACCAGCCAUGCCGCGUGAAGGAUGAAGGUCCUCUGGAUUGUAAACUUCUUUUAUCUGGGACGAAAACGGGAUUUUUAUCUCAAUUGACGGUACCAGAGGAAUAAGCACCGGCUAACUCCGUGCCAGCAGCCGCGGUAAUAGGAAGGGUGCAAGCGUUACUCGGAAUUACUGGGCGUAAAGCGUGCGUAGGUGGUUGUUUAAGUCUGAUGCGAUAGCCCUGGGCUCAACCUGGGAAUGGCAUUGGAAACUGGGCAGCUAGAGUGCGGUAGAGGGUAGUGGAAUUCCCGGUGUAGCAGUGAAAUGCGUAGAGAUCGGGAGGAACAUCUGUGGCGAAGGCGACUGCCUGGACCAGCACUGACACUGAGGCACGAAAGCGUGGGGAGCAAACA